UUUGGCUCAGGACGAACGCUGGCGGCGUGCCUAAUACAUGCAAGUCGAACGAACUCUGGUAUUGAUUGGUGCUUGCAUCAUGAUUUACAUUUGAGUGAGUGGCGAACUGGUGAGUAACACGUGGGAAACCUGCCCAGAAGCGGGGGAUAACACCUGGAAACAGAUGCUAAUACCGCAUAACAACUUGGACCGCAUGGUCCGAGCUUGAAAGAUGGCUUCGGCUAUCACUUUUGGAUGGUCCCGCGGCGUAUUAGCUAGAUGGUGGGGUAACGGCUCACCAUGGCAAUGAUACGUAGCCGACCUGAGAGGGUAAUCGGCCACAUUGGGACUGAGACACGGCCCAAACUCCUACGGGAGGCAGCAGUAGGGAAUCUUCCACAAUGGACGAAAGUCUGAUGGAGCAACGCCGCGUGAGUGAAGAAGGGUUUCGGCUCGUAAAACUCUGUUGUUAAAGAAGAACAUAUCUGAGAGUAACUGUUCAGGUAUUGACGGUAUUUAACCAGAAAGCCACGGCUAACUACGUGCCAGCAGCCGCGGUAAUACGUAGGUGGCAAGCGUUGUCCGGAUUUAUUGGGCGUAAAGCGAGCGCAGGCGGUUUUUUAAGUCUGAUGUGAAAGCCUUCGGCUCAACCGAAGAAGUGCAUCGGAAACUGGGAAACUUGAGUGCAGAAGAGGACAGUGGAACUCCAUGUGUAGCGGUGAAAUGCGUAGAUAUAUGGAAGAACACCAGUGGCGAAGGCGGCUGUCUGGUCUGUAACUGACGCUGAGGCUCGAAAGUAUGGGUAGCAAACAGGAUUAGAUACCCUGGUAGUCCAUACCGUAAACGAUGAAUGCUAAGUGUUGGAGGGUUUCCGCCCUUCAGUGCUGCAGCUAACGCAUUAAGCAUUCCGCCUGGGGAGUACGGCCGCAAGGCUGAAACUCAAAGGAAUUGACGGGGGCCCGCACAAGCGGUGGAGCAUGUGGUUUAAUUCGAAGCUACGCGAAGAACCUUACCAGGUCUUGACAUACUAUGCAAAUCUAAGAGAUUAGACGUUCCCUUCGGGGACAUGGAUACAGGUGGUGCAUGGUUGUCGUCAGCUCGUGUCGUGAGAUGUUGGGUUAAGUCCCGCAACGAGCGCAACCCUUAUUAUCAGUUGCCAGCAUUAAGUUGGGCACUCUGGUGAGACUGCCGGUGACAAACCGGAGGAAGGUGGGGAUGACGUCAAAUCAUCAUGCCCCUUAUGACCUGGGCUACACACGUGCUACAAUGGAUGGUACAACGAGUUGCGAACUCGCGAGAGUAAGCUAAUCUCUUAAAGCCAUUCUCAGUUCGGAUUGUAGGCUGCAACUCGCCUACAUGAAGUCGGAAUCGCUAGUAAUCGCGGAUCAGCAUGCCGCGGUGAAUACGUUCCCGGGCCUUGUACACACCGCCCGUCACACCAUGAGAGUUUGUAACACCCAAAGUCGGUGGGGUAACCUUUUAGGAACCAGCCGCCUAAGGUGACAG
rnacentral:rRNA from 2 species